rnacentral:rRNA from 1 species
CGUACGCUUCUUUUUCCCCGGAGCUUGCUCCACCGGAAAAAGAAGAGUGGCGAACGGGUGAGUAACACGUGGGUAACCUGCCCAUCAGAAGGGGAUAACACUUGGAAACAGGUGCUAAUACCGUAUAACAAUCGAAACCGCAUGGUUUUGAUUUGAAAGGCGCUUUCGGGUGUCGCUGAUGGAUGGACCCGCGGUGCAUUAGCUAGUUGGUGAGGUAACGGCUCACCAAGGCCACGAUGCAUAGCCGACCUGAGAGGGUGAUCGGCCACAUUGGGACUGAGACACGGCCCAAACUCCUACGGGAGGCAGCAGUAGGGAAUCUUCGGCAAUGGACGAAAGUCUGACCGAGCAACGCCGCGUGAGUGAAGAAGGUUUUCGGAUCGUAAAACUCUGUUGUUAGAGAAGAACAAGGAUGAGAGUAACUGUUCAUCCCUUGACGGUAUCUAACCAGAAAGCCACGGCUAACUACGUGCCAGCAGCCGCGGUAAUACGUAGGUGGCAAGCGUUGUCCGGAUUUAUUGGGCGUAAAGCGAGCGCAGGCGGUUUCUUAAGUCUGAUGUGAAAGCCCCCGGCUCAACCGGGGAGGGUCAUUGGAAACUGGGAGACUUGAGUGCAGAAGAGGAGAGUGGAAUUCCAUGUGUAGCGGUGAAAUGCGUAGAUAUAUGGAGGAACACCAGUGGCGAAGGCGGCUCUCUGGUCUGUAACUGACGCUGAGGCUCGAAAGCGUGGGGAGCAAACAGGAUUAGAUACCCUGGUAGUCCACGCCGUAAACGAUGAGUGCUAAGUGUUGGAGGGUUUCCGCCCUUCAGUGCUGCAGCUAACGCAUUAAGCACUCCGCCUGGGGAGUACGACCGCAAGGUUGAAACUCAAAGGAAUUGACGGGGGCCCGCACAAGCGGUGGAGCAUGUGGUUUAAUUCGAAGCAACGCGAAGAACCUUACCAGGUCUUGACAUCCUUUGACCACUCUAGAGAUAGAGCUUCCCCUUCGGGGGCAAAGUGACAGGUGGUGCAUGGUUGUCGUCAGCUCGUGUCGUGAGAUGUUGGGUUAAGUCCCGCAACGAGCGCAACCCUUAUUGUUAGUUGCCAUCAUUCAGUUGGGCACUCUAGCAAGACUGCCGGUGACAAACCGGAGGAAGGUGGGGAUGACGUCAAAUCAUCAUGCCCCUUAUGACCUGGGCUACACACGUGCUACAAUGGGAAGUACAACGAGUCGCGAAGUCGCGAGGCUAAGCUAAUCUCUUAAAGCUUCUCUCAGUUCGGAUUGUAGGCUGCAACUCGCCUACAUGAAGCCGGAAUCGCUAGUAAUCGCGGAUCAGCACGCCGCGGUGAAUACGUUCCCGGGCCUUGUACACAC